rnacentral:tRNA from 1 species
UGGGCUUUAGCUUAAUCAAAGCGUUUGGCUGUUAACCAUUUGAUGUAAUGUAUAGUUACAAGCCUGU